CUUGUUUCUUCAACUGCGGCUACGGUAUGAAAAUGGGCCAAAGAUCCCCAAACUCCUCUAAAAUAUCAUUACCAAAAGAAGCAACAGGUACUGCUUUUGAUGCAGAAACCUUGGACUUGGACUUAGCAGUAGCGGGUUGAGGACUAGGUUCCUUAGAAGAUGCAACCGAUGCUGAUUUUGACACUGGGAUUCGAGGAGUACUCAAUGGGGUUGAGACAGAGGAGCGAGUUCUCUUGCUAAUGGGUUCAAGAAUGAAAACCCUAGGUUUCUUGGUUGUCAAAGCAGAGGCAGAAAUGGGUUCUUUGCGCUUGCUAGGAGAAGAAGGCUUUUUGAGUUUGAAAUUAGGGUUCACUUUCUUCUUAGCAACUGUCUUGAAAUGGGUUUUUAGGGCAGAUUGUACUGUAGGUGGAGAGGGUUGAGGGAUUUACAGAGGUUUGUGUUGUAGGUUCUGAUUCAAAGGUUGGUUAUAGAGGUAAUUCUUGUUGUUGGGGAGAAAGAACAGGGUCAGUGGAUAAUUGGGAGGAUNGAGGAUAGUGUUGGCUGUGAAAAGAGUGGUCAUGAUAGUGGAUUUGUAAUUGGGGAAGGUGACCUAGAGUUCGCCAUUGAAAGUGGUUUGCAACGAGAAGGAUGAACUGGUUUUCUUGUGGAAUAGUGUUUUUGCCUUACCAUUCAAAGAAAAAUGGAAGGAAAUAAGGCUCGGUAGUGUGGUGUUGAGAGAAAAGGGGAAUGGG
rnacentral:misc_RNA from 1 species